UUUUUUUUUUUCCUUUUUUUUUUUUUUUUUUUUUUAUUGAUGAUUUUACUACUCGAGGACUUCACUUCCAUAAAAACAGGAAUG
rnacentral:ribozyme from 14 species